AGGGGCAAGUGGAGGAGACUCCAUUCGAACAAGCUCCACGAUGGCUGAAGGUGUUAUCGGUAGGAGUAUUACGAUGACAACCCCCAGUGUGUCACCUAUACCAGGAGCCUUAACUGACCUAGAGAUAAUGGAUGAGAUUGGGAUCGAAGAAUUCAUUGGCCUUACCCUCUUUGGAGCACCUCCCUUCGGCAUGGAGCUCGACCUCUUCU
rnacentral:lncRNA from 1 species